UGCAUAUGAAGAACAGAAAGAAUAAGAGGUUCAUUUAUUAUCUUCUAUGUUACGAAAUUAAUUAAUAUAGUCUGGUACAAAAGCAGGUGUCUGAAAAAUGCUAAAAGAUUAUGAGAAAAUGGCUAGCACGUAAAAGCAAACAGUUCAAAUUUGGCGCUUGAAUUGGUGCUCUGUGACAACUUUGUCAUUUACAAUUAUGAUGGCUUAUAAUAAUUUUUUUUUAUUUAAUUUUAUAUUAAUAUGGUAUAAUAUUAAAGUGGUUGGUCCAUAUUAUUGGAAGGGGGAAGAAUAUUAUUUUGUGGGUUGGAGGAUGAAAUGUGUAGUGCGCGCUGUGAGCUUGCGACAAGAGGGAGUGUGGCUAGCGCAGUGUUCAAAGGACGCCGCGACCCGCUGCCUUAUUUAACUUGGAUUUUGGCUGAACCAGACGGUGACACGGGCAGGGAUUGCUUCUAUGUGCUGGUGCAGGGUUGGUUCCUGCUAGGAAGCGCCCAGGAAGGCCUAGUGCCACUCACAAGGACCAAGAAGGGUUAUAAUCUGGGAUGUGACUGUGAAUUGAAGACCUUGUGCGAAAGAUGGACCAGUGUUUGAAGAGGAAGCUGUGAGUGAGAGCACCUAAACCUGUGUGCAGGUGUGGGAGAGCGGUGGUGCUUGGCUUGGAUUGGAGGUGGUGAAUCUGGUGAAGCCAGACAGGCUAAAUUGACCCAUCAUUUUCUGUUUAGCAGUGUCCCUCCUGGUAUUUUAAGUGUUUUCAUCAGGACUGUUCUUGAAAGCUACAGAGUAAACAUCUAGUCUGGUUCUUAUGGGUGUUGUUGAUGUUGAUGCAUAAUGUUUAGUGCAUAAGAUAUUAAUUAAACUAACAUCACUAG